CACUGGUGGUGAAGAGCAGCUCCGGUUGCCAUGGCAGCAUGAACAUGCUGCAGUAGAAGCUACUCACAUCACAAUGGACCAAUACACAGAAAAAGAGGCAGAAACCAGGGGUUGGGCUGUGACAAUCACAGCCCUGAUCCUCUGGUGUCUUACUUACAAGGCAGGUCCCAGCUCCUAAAGAUUCCACCGCUUCCAAACAGUGAGACUGGUUGGAGAACAAAACACGACCUCUGUAGGGUCUCUUAGAACCUAGUCCUAACAGAGACCUGGGAAGGGGGAUGUGAUUUGGUUCAGGAAGGCCUCAGAACAGGUUCUAACCUCAAUCAAGACGACACAUACAGUUAACUAAGGGAACAGCCCACUUGCUCUGCUCACUGCCCGAGUGUAGGCAGUGUUUCCCUGGACCUGAGCCUGCAGGAAGGUUGCUUGUGGCAAGAACUGUCACAGAGAAUAUGUUCCAACAACCUCCGAUUGCCCAAAUUCAGCUGGUCAGUGUGUAAAGAUCCUGCCUCCCUUAGCCAGCAGAUGCGGAGGCUGCUGAUUGGUGACCUCAGUAAGAACACUGUAAGCAGAGGGAAGGCUUCUGGUUAGUUUCAAAGGACACAGGUUGAGGGUCCCAUUGCUAUGAAAAGUCCUUGUAUUGACUACGGCAGACUGGGAGUGAUGCUCUCUGAUUGGCAGCUACUACUUCCCCAGUGACUGCGCUUGGGCUGCCUGUGAAGACCCCAGCAUCAUUACCUAUUCAUGCAUUCUACGUGCCAUCUCGCCCCUCUCUUGUUUCUGAGUGACUUUUCACUUGGCCUUUUCUGUAGAUCAGCUUCUCGGAAUAAACCAUCUGGAAAAACGAA